rnacentral:rRNA from 1 species
UAAUACGAGGGGGGCAAGCGUUGUUCGGAUUUAUUGGGCGUAAAGGGUGCGUAGGCGGUUUGGUAAGUCUUGUGUGAAAUCUUCGGGCUCAACUCGAAGUCUGCACAAGAAACUGCCGGGCUUGAGUAUGGGAGAGGUGAGUGGAAUUUCCGGUGUAGCGGUGAAAUGCGUAGAUAUCGGAAGGAACACCUGUGGCGAAAGCGGCUCACUGGACCAUUACUGACGCUGAGGCACGAAAGCUAGGGGAGCAAACAGG